UACGGAGGAUCCGAGCGUUAUCCGGAUUUAUUGGGUUUAAAGGGUGCGUAGGCGGCCUAUUAAGUCAGGGGUGAAAGACGGUAGCUUAACUAUCGCAGUGCCUUUGAUACUGAUGGGCUUGAAUGUAGUUGAGGUAGGCGGAAUGUGACAAGUAGCGGUGAAAUGCAUAGAUAUGUCACAGAACACCAAUUGCGAAGGCAGCUUACUAAAGUAUGAUUGACGCUGAGGCACGAAAGCGUGGGGGAUCAAAACAGG
rnacentral:rRNA from 1 species